UACGAAGGGGGCGAGCGUUUGUUCGGAUUUACUGGGCGUAAAGGGCGCGCAGGCGGCUCAUUUUGUCAGGCGUGAAAGCCCCGGGCUUAACCUGGGAGGUGCGUUUGAUACGGAUGGGCUAGAGUUCGGGAGAGGAGAGUGGAAUUCCCAGUGUAGAGGUGAAAUUCGUAGAUAUUGGGAAGAACACCGGUGGCGAAGGCGGCUCUCUGGACCGAGACUGACGCUGAGGCGCGAAAGCGUGGGGAGCAAACAGG
rnacentral:rRNA from 1 species